rnacentral:tRNA from 1 species
GGUCCUAUGGAGAAGCGGCUUAACUCAUCGCCCUCUCAAGGCGACAUUCACGGGUUCGAAUCCCGUUAGGAUCACCA